rnacentral:rRNA from 1 species
CGUAGGGUGCGAGCGUUAAUCGGAAUUACUGGGCGUAAAGCGUGCGCAGGCGGUUUAGUAAGACAGGCGUGAAAUCCCCGGGCUCAACCUGGGAACUGCGCUUGUGACUGCUAAGCUAGAGUACGGCAGAGGGGGGUGGAAUUCCACGUGUAGCAGUGAAAUGCGUAGAGAUGUGGAGGAACACCAAUGGCGAAGGCAGCCCCCUGGGUCGAUACUGACGCUCAUGCACGAAAGCGUGGGUAGCAAACAGGAUUAGAUACCCUGGUAGUCCACGCCCUAAACGAUGUCAACUAGGUGUUGGGAGGGUAAAACCUUUUAGUACCGGAGCUAACGCGUGAAGUUGACCGCCUGGGGAGUACGGCCGCAAAGUUA